rnacentral:rRNA from 1 species
AGUGAACGCUGGCGGUAGGCCUAACACAUGCAAGUCGAACGGCAGCACAGUAAGAGCUUGCUCUUACGGGUGGCGAGUGGCGGACGGGUGAGGAAUACAUCGGAAUCUACUUUUUCGUGGGGGAUAACGUAGGGAAACUUACGCUAAUACCGCAUACGACCUACGGGUGAAAGCAGGGGAUCCUCGGACCUUGCGCGAUUGAAUGAGCCGAUGUCGGAUUAGCUAGUUGGCGGGGUAAAGGCCCACCAAGGCGACGAUCCGUAGCUGGUCUGAGAGGAUGAUCAGCCACACUGGAACUGAGACACGGUCCAGACUCCUACGGGAGGCAGCAGUGGGGAAUAUUGGACAAUGGGCGCAAGCCUGAUCCAGCCAUACCGCGUGGGUGAAGAAGGCCUUCGGGUUGUAAAGCCCUUUUGUUGGGAAAGAAAAGCAGCAGGUUAAUACCCCGCUGUUCUGACGGUACCCAAGAAUAAGCACCGGCUAACUUCGUG